rnacentral:rRNA from 1 species
UACGGAGGAUCCGAGCGUUAUCUGGAUUUAUUGGGUUUAAAGGGAGCGUAGGCGGGUUGUUAAGUCAGUUGUGAAAGUUUGCGGCUCAACCGUAAAAUUGCAGUUGAUACUGGCAUCCUUGAGUACAGUAGAGGUAGGCGGAAUUCGUGGUGUAGCGGUGAAAUGCUUAGAUAUCACGAAGAACUCCGAUUGCGAAGGCAGCCUGCCGGACUGUAACUGACGCUGAUGCUCGAAAGUGUGGGUAUCAAACAGG